GACGAACGCUGGCGGCGUGCUUAACACAUGCAAGUCGUACGGUAAGGCCCUUUCGGGGGUACACGAGUGGCGAACGGGUGAGUAACACGUGAGUAACCUGCCCACAACUUUGGGAUAACGCUAGGAAACUGGUGCUAAUACUGGAUAUGUGCUCCUGCUGCAUGGUGGGGGUUGGAAAGCUCCGGCGGUUGUGGAUGGACUCGCGGCCUAUCAGCUUGUUGGUGGGGUAGUGGCCUACCAAGGCGGCGACGGGUAGCCGGCCUGAGAGGGUGACCGGCCACAUUGGGACUGAGAUACGGCCCAGACUCCUACGGGAGGCAGCAGUGGGGAAUAUUGCACAAUGGGCGCAAGCCUGAUGCAGCAACGCCGCGUGCGGGAUGACAGCCUUCGGGUUGGAAACCGCUUUCAGCAGGGACGAAGCUUUUUGUGACGGUACCUGCAGAAGAAGCACCGGCUAACUACGUG
rnacentral:rRNA from 1 species